CUACGGGAGGCAGCAGUAGGGAAUAUUGGUCAAUGGACGCAAGUCUGAACCAGCCAUGCCGCGUGAAGGAUGAAGGCCCUAUGGGUCGUAAACUUCUUUUAUUAGGGAAGAAAAAACGGGAUGCGUCCUGUACUGACGGUACUUAAUGAAUAAGGAUCGGCUAACUUCGUGCCAGCAGCCGCGGUAAGACGAAGGAUCCAAGCGUUGUCCGGAUUUACUGGGUUUAAAGGGUGCGUAGGCGGAAAAUUAAGUCAGUGGUGAAAGCCCGCAGCUCAACUGUGGAACUGCCAUUGAAACUGGUUUUCUCGAAUGUAGCUGAGGCAGAUGGAAUAUAACAUGUAGCGGUGAAAUGCUUAGAUAUGUUAUAGAACACCGAUUGCGAAGGCAGUCUGCUAAACUAUUAUUGACGCUGAGGCACGAAAGCGUGGGGAGCGAACAGGAUUAGAUACCCGCGUAGUC
rnacentral:rRNA from 1 species